GAUGAACGCUAGCUACAGGCUUAACACAUGCAAGUCGAGGGGAAACGACAUCGAAAGCUUGCUUUUGAUGGGCGUCGACCGGCGCACGGGUGAGUAACGCGUAUCCAACCUGCCCACCACUUGGGGAUAACCUUGCGAAAGUAAGACUAAUACCCAAUGACGUCUCUAGAAGACAUCUGAAAGAGAUUAAAGAUUUAUCGGUGAUGGAUGGGGAUGCGUCUGAUUAGCUUGUUGGCGGGGUAACGGCCCACCAAGGCGACGAUCAGUAGGGGGUCUGAGAGGAAGGUCCCCCACAUUUGAACUGAGACACGGUCCAAACUCCUACGGGAGGCAGCAGUGAGGAAUAUUGGUCAAUGGGCGAGAGCCUGAACCAGCCAAGUAGCGUGCAGGAUGACGGCCCUAUGGGUUGUAAACUGCUUUUAUAAGGGAAUAAAGUGAGUCUCGUGAGACUUUUUGCAUGUACCUUAUGAAUAAGGACCGGCUAAUUCCGUGCCAGCCGCCGCCGUAA
rnacentral:rRNA from 1 species